rnacentral:tRNA from 1 species
GGGUUAUAGCUCAGCUGGUUAGAGCGCACGCCUGAUAAGCGUGAGGUCGAUGGUUCGAGUCCAUUUAACCCC